AGAAGCCUAGGGGCUGCAUCCCCAGGAACGGAGAGGAGAUCAAAGGCCCGGACCCGAUGGAAAAGACGGGCUGGGGCAGCUGAGUCGGUGGGAGUGAAGCUGACAUGGUGGAAUUUGGAAGUUGCUGCAGGGCAAGAAAUGCAGGAAGAACAGAAGAGAGACAGGCAGUGGCUAAAGCACAGGAAGCGGUUAUGAGUCUGCUACUAAAAGCCCAGCAGGAUGCAGGUCAUUACCUCAAAUAAGAGCAGUCCCUGCUCUUGGAGGUGGAGGCCCCUCAAGCAGUACCUACAGGCAUCCCUGUGAACAUGGCUGAAUUAUUUCAAAGGCAAUAUUUUUGGUUUAGUGACUCCAUGCAUCUGAAGAAGUGGGUUUUUUACCCACGAAAGCAUAUGCCAAAAUAAAUCCUGUAGUCUUUAAGG